UUUCAUUGUUUUGAUUGUGCGGUCGGCAGAGGCCGUAAAUAGUCGUCAAAAUAAACUUUAUAUUGUGAGCUGAAAUUGAAGUGCAGAAGUGCUGGAAAGUGGCAUCCAUUAAAAUAAAUAGUAACGGAAACCGAAAAUUGUGAAGUGGCAAAAGUAAAUGUUUAUUUCGAAGGACUAUAAAUUCCUGUGGAUAGUGUUCGAAUGAAAACGCUGUUGGCAAAAACGCCUCGUGAAACAAUAAUUUAACCCAAUAAGCGCUCGAGCGGUCCACGCAAGUUUAGAGAUGCCCCUGUAGUAAUCUGCAAUAUUAGGUUGGACGUCUGUCAUGGAUGAGUAUCUCAAGGCUGCCUAACCGACUUUUUCUACUGGAAUAUUCUCUUCAUCAGCCGCAGACACAAGAUAUAAACUAUUCAUCCUAUCGGCAGUAUGAUCUGUAACGGCAACAGCACUGGCAGCAAUCUCUAUCGAACCGAAACGAGAGCGAAGGUCAGCUGUUCGAGAAAGAUGUCACGUUGGAGGACAUGACGCAGAAUUAAAUACAAGACAGUACUGUAGAGAAAACAUCUGGCAUCAAAACAAAAACAAACUAGAAGUAAAAUCUCAGAACUAGGAUUGGAAUCUCAGGAUUUACAAACGGGUAAGUUAUAAAGAUUGCUUCGAUGAAAAAGAAUAAGUCGCUUAUGUGACUACGUACGUAUUGUAUUUCGAAA